AGUUGGUGCCGCUGCCACCUCCGAUUCCGAGCUUUCGGCACCUCUGCCGGGUGGUACCGAGCCUUCCCGGCGCCCCCUCCUCUCCUCCCACCGGCCUGCCCUUCCCCGCGGGACUAUCGCCCCCACGUUUCCCUCAGCCCUUUUCUCUCCCGGCCGAGCCGCGGCGGCAGCAGCAGCAGCAGCAGCAGCAGGAGGAGGAGCCCGGUGGCGGCGGUGGCCGGGGAGCCCAUGGCGUACAGUCAAGGAGGCGGCAAAAAAAAAGUCUGCUACUACUACGACGGUGAUAUUGGAAAUUAUUAUUAUGGACAGGGUCAUCCCAUGAAGCCUCAUAGAAUCCGCAUGACCCAUAACUUGCUGUUAAAUUAUGGCUUAUACAGAAAAAUGGAAAUAUAUAGGCCCCAUAAAGCCACUGCCGAAGAAAUGACAAAAUAUCACAGUGAUGAGUAUAUCAAAUUUCUACGGUCAAUAAGACCAGAUAACAUGUCUGAGUAUAGUAAGCAGAUGCAGAGAUGUACGUUUCUAAGUAAAAAGUAGUUUUGCUUUGAUAAAUGUAAAUUAGUAUUUUUAGGAGCUUAGAAUGAUCUAAAUCUGAAUAUUUUUCCUGUUGGUCUAAUAUGUUACAGUUAUUUACUGAUUUGAAAAGUCAUUUUAACACUACUAAAGCUACUUAAGAAAAAAGUAAACCUAUCUGAAGCUUAUUGGUUUGCAAAACUGCUGUUUGGGUAUUCUUCUA
rnacentral:lncRNA from 1 species